rnacentral:rRNA from 1 species
AACGAACGCUGGCGGCAUGCCUAACACAUGCAAGUCGAACGAGACCUUCGGGUCUAGUGGCGCACGGGUGCGUAACGCGUGGGAAUCUGCCCUUGGGUUCGGAAUAACAGUUAGAAAUGACUGCUAAUACCGGAUAAUGUCUUCGGACCAAAGAUUAUCGCCCAGGGAUGAGCCCGCGUAGGAUUAGCUAGUUGGUGAGGUAAAGGCUCACCAAGGCGACGAUCCUUAGCUGGUCUGAGAGGAUGAUCAGCCACACUGGGACUGAGACACGGCCCA